rnacentral:lncRNA from 10 species
UCAUAGACACUUUUCCCUCCAGCUGGGCAUACCAGUCCUUCCUCUUCUUCUCAGGACAGGUGCAGCCGUGUUAAGGAGAGGACAUUCGAGAGGGCGUGGCGAAGUGAAGAGGAACCUCACGCCACUGCCUGGAGCUCCGAUAGAGUCUCGCUCUGUCGCCCAGGCUGCAGUGCAGUGACGUGAUCUCGGCUCACUGCACCCUCCGCCUCCCAGGUUCAAGUGAUUCCCCUGCCUCAGCCUCCUGGGUAGCUGGGACUACAGCCUUAGCCCCGUGGGCCCCACGGAGUGAGCGGCAUGCAGCACCCCCGGGCCUGUCCAGUGUCCUCUGGCCUGCUGCCCUGCACCCCCAGAAGGCCCUGACGCCCUGGGGCACUUCUGCUCUGCACAGGACCACGCGGGGGUUUGCCAUGGUGACAUAAAGGGGCGCGGAGGAAGGAAGGAGCGUGACCAGCCUGUGGACUGCGCCCCUGGCUGGGAGGAAGGACUGGGGGCCCAG